rnacentral:rRNA from 1 species
GUGGGGAAUAUUGGACAAUGGGCGAAAGCCUGAUCCAGCCAUGCCGCGUGUGUGAAGAAGGUCUUCGGAUUGUAAAGCACUUUAAGUUGGGAGGAAGGGCAGUAAGUUAAUACCUUGCUGUUUUGACGUUACCGACAGAAUAAGCACCGGCUAACUUCGUGCCAGCAGCCGCGGUAAUACGAAGGGUGCAAGCGUUAAUCGGAAUUACUAGGCGUAAAGCGCGCGUAGGUGGUUUUGUAAGUUGGAGGUGAAAUCCCCGGGCUCAACCUGGGAACUGCCUCCAAAACUGAAUGACUAGAGUGCAGUAGAGAGUAGUGGAAUUUCCUGGGUAGCGGUGAAAUGCGUAGAUAUAGGAAGGAACACCAGUGGCGAAGGCGACUACCUGGACUGAUACUGACACUGAGGUGCGAAAGCGUGGGGAGCAAACAGGAUUAGAAACCCGGGUAGUCC